CGGACCUCAGCUCUCAACUGGCAAAACGCUCUCUCCCCAGAGCCAACCUCAUAGAAAAGUUGGUUUUAUCAAAUCAGGAGCCAAACACGUGGCGUUGGUUGUUGUGUUGGCCUCUUGGACUCUAGAGCAGCUCUUGCCCUUUCUCUCCACCCACUGCUGUUGACUAGCUGCAGAAACCAGAAACCAAAGAGGAGGAAAAAAGACCAGGUACAAACAAGAAGGGGAGAAUUGUGACUCAUGGUCGAAAGCCAAGCAGCCUAGAAAAAAGAAAUACAAUUAAACAGUUAUUUCAAAGAAACCAAAAAAUACUUCUACACCAUCUCCAGGCUUGGAGGAAAUGAACCAACUAUAGAAAGUUCCUUAUAACUCUGUUCAAGUAGAACAUUCUAUUUCUGUGACAGAAAAUGAAGUCCCAUUAUGUCAAAACUGUAGAACACAUGGAGCCUUCUGCAGAAGCUUGACGUGUUAUCUGCCAAAAAGAUAUUAAGCAAACCAAAUUCAUCUGGUGUUUUCUAUAAAUGACUCACUAUUAUUGUCUAGCAUCCUAUUGUACCAGAUACCUGAAAGACUUGGAGAGGUUGUGAGGCGAUGACAGGAAGAUGUUUCCUCCAGACAGAGACUGAGACACAGACAGGUGAUGCCACAGAUCACAGAGUUUUAAACGUCUACCUAAGAGAUUCAGCUGCACUCGGAUACGCUUGCGGCGAGCUCCCUGAAGAGUUUCCCUGUGCUUGGAGGAAGAAGUAACGUCAGUAAAUCAAAAUUUACACCCUGUUGACCUUGGAAAUACAAAGGCAACACAAUAAACCAACAUGAGUUUGCUCUGCAAGAUCCAGUUGGGAAAGGAAGAAGCAUUUAUUUCUCUUGCUUUCCACACAUACCUUUGAAGUGUCUUAGCAUCAAAAGAAACACCCAGCCUGAAACUAUAUUUUCUUUACUCAAAACGUGUGGUAGUCUCAAGAUGACAGCUAGAUUUUUCUGGCAUGAACAGUAAAGGUCAACUUUGGCAAUGUUCCAUUAAUACAUGACUGCAAACAUUUUUAUACAUAAGAGCCUACAGGCAUUCGAACAUCGACUGUAAUUGAAAACCAGAUGUUGUGAGAAAAACCCUACAAGCCGCUACUUCCAAAUUAAAAACCACCUAGGUCUUUGUCCGGGGCCUCAGUGGCCGCAGUUUCCACCUCAGACCUCUGUGGUGCUCCUGCUGGGAUUUGGAGGUUUGCUCAGAAUCUUCCAUUCAUCUAAUUAGUCCUUUGGGAGAAAGAAAGAUGAAAGGAAGGGAGGGCAGGAGACACAGAGAUGCUUCACAUGGCUGUUUAGACCACGAAUGUAGCUCAUCUAGGAAAGAACUGGUGACAUGAAAAUAAUGAAACAGAAGGAUUGAGCUCUGUGAAUUGAGAGGUUUUGUCUUCAUUUAGAUAAAGUCACCAUUAAGCCACUCCUAUUUCCUUACUCUUAACUAAGGUGGAAUCAGGAAAGGAAAUGCAAAGUUGGGUCACCUUUUCCAAAUGGCUUCAGAAAAACUUCCCUAAUCAGGGGCCCCCAAAAGGAGGAAAUAUACUGGGGUGUAUAAGGCCUUGGUAGAUGAAGUGUGAGGAAUUUCUCUCUUGCCACCUGAUUCCGGUUAGAAAUUCACUGGCUGUGUCGCUGACUGAACAAAACAGAGGAUAAUAGCCGCUGGCUGAAGAUUUUAUAAUUGAAGCUGAGACAGAGUGGGCCAUGUGCAUGUUUAGAACAGUGAUUGCAUUGUGAAUUACAACAGAAGUCCCACUUGUCAGUCACACAAACGUUUAAGAGCAUAGAAAGGCAUCUGAUUUGGGACAAGGAUGACAAAAUAGAUCUUUUGGUUUCUCCCACUUUGCCCUGAGUACAAAGGGACUGAUGACUGCUUUGUUCUGGGAUAGAGUUUUAAUUCCUCUUAGGAUCUACCCAAUUAUUAACAGAGAAAGAAAAUUCCUGUCUGGAACCACUCCUACCACUUUCCGAAAGAAGUAAUCUUUAGUCCUCAUCAUCCAAUGAGAGAAAGAGAGUAAUAUAAAUGAUAUCGUGCCAGAUUUUUUGCUUUGUUUAUAAUCAUUACUUUUCCUCAUGUAUCUUUAGUGAUGUCUCAAUGUUAAACAACUGUAGUAAACACUGUUAAGAAACAUGGCUCUAAUUUGACAAUAUCAGUCAACAUUUAAAAUGCCUCUACCCUUUGAACCAGGAAUUACAUUUUUAAGAAUUUCUUUAACAGAUAAACUGAGAGAUGUGGAAAAUGAUAUAUUUACAAAGAUAAGCUUGGCAGCAUUGUUUGUAACAUCCAAAGAGUGAAAACAACCCAAAAGUUCAUCAACAGAUCAAUUAAAUAAAUUACUGUAUGUUUACACAAGGAAAUGGAGUAUCAGAUUAAAGUCUGGUUCCAGUCCUUGUC
rnacentral:lncRNA from 1 species